CAACCAUCAAGCCCCAGGCUUGUGUUGGGGUCCUGCGGCUGCCCGCAGGCUCCUAAAUACAGUGGCGGGCUCGCUAUCGCACCGAGCGCAGUAGGUAACUCCUCGCUUAGGGCGCGACGGCGGGUGCCGGCCGUGAAACCCCCCAUCAUACAA
rnacentral:misc_RNA from 1 species